GCCCGCUGCAGCUCAUCAGUAAGCCAGUCUUCCCUCAGCCACUUGCAACAAGCACCAAGCUCAGGCUUCUGGCUCAAGCAACAGGCCUUGUCCCUGCAACAACCCACUAGUGUCUUCACAACUACCUGACACAAAUAACUUCCCUCUGCCACGUUUGACUGCCCCAAAUAGUAUACUGUACUACCGUCGUCAACAGACAAGGCCGCUUAUCAGUUACACUAACAUGAAGUGCUCUGCCCUGGUCUGCUGUUUGCUGGUGCUCAGCCUCAACGUGACUGCACAAGCCUUGCCAAACGGAGUAAGAAGUGAGAGCGACGCUAGCAGAGUGGUUGACGCUUCACCAUAUAACAUCUUGGGCUUAUCAAUAUCCUGCCGGAGAUGUUAUAUCUUCAAUCGCCACCUUAACACAUGUGUGCCAAAUAUGCGGUGCAUGUUCAGGGACAGGCGACGAGGGAGACACUAGAAGGCACCAUGCACUCGUGAAGUCGGCAGUUGGAUGCACCAAUUCUCACCACUACAUUGAAAUUAACACACCAGCACUCACUCAUUCUCGUAGAUACAGUCGACGUAUACAACAACAGUGGCUACCACAAAACAUUCAAGCAGUAACCCAAGAUAGCACAAGAAGAUUGUACACGAACGUAUUGAAUAUUUUAUACCUAUUUUAUCAUAAAAUAUUCCAAGAUUC